rnacentral:rRNA from 1 species
UACGUAGGGCGCAAGCGUUGUCCGGAAUUAUUGGGCGUAAAGAGCUCGUAGGCGGUCUGUCGCGUCGGAUGUGAAAGCCCGGGGCUUAACCCCGGGUCUGCAUUCGAUACGGGCAGACUAGAGUGUGGUAGGGGAGAUCGGAAUUCCUGGUGUAGCGGUGAAAUGCGCAGAUAUCAGGAGGAACACCGGUGGCGAAGGCGGAUCUCUGGGCCAUUACUGACGCUGAGGUGCGAAAGCGUGGGGAGCAAACAGG